GAGAAGCUAGACCCCUGGACUUGAAAUAUGAAAAAUAAAAAGCGCAGCCCUUGGCUUCGCUCUCUAGUGAGGCUUUGGGAACCCUGCCGGAGUCGGAAGGAGUAGACGGAGAGAGAAAAGGGCCUCCUCACACACCCUGGACCCUUGGCCCACUCCUGCCGCGCCCCCGCCUCCCACGACUGGCACCCCCGGGCCGCCCCAAUCCUUCAGCAACCGGUCCCCUCCCCUCGCCUCCCUCCUUCUCGGGCCCCAGCUUCCUCUCUGCCUUCCGCCGCCCGCUUCUCUCGGCACACACACGGUUUCUCUCUGCUCUUCGCAAUCCCCGCUGUCUCCCCACACCGUGGAUCGAACCCUCACCGGCAUCUUGGCGGCGCCCGGGUUUCAACCCAGAGGAGCAGGAUCCAGGUACAGCGGAGCGCUUCCGGUCUGGCAGCCUGGGCGAGAUCCAUUUUUGUCAUGAUGUUGACUUGCGGAAUUUCUAGAGAGAUCAUGGCACUCAGGGCUGCCAAGAUGCCAGAAAUAAACUGAAGGAGGAAACAGAAAAGGGAAGAUGAACUGACUGUUGCCAACAGUUACCUGGUCUGCAUAAAGAGUCUUCUAUUCCUCACUGGAACAGAACUGGCCUAAAUAAAAGAAAUGCAAGCUGGACGUGGUGGCUCAUGCCU
rnacentral:lncRNA from 1 species